UUAAAUAUUUUAGGAAAAUUGAAAGCUUAAAACUGGCCGCCGGUGCUCUAUUCUGUAUAAUCAUGUUCGUGGGUUAAAUUCUAUUGUCACUACCUUCAGCUAUUCCGUUGAAGGUCGAAUCGAAAGGGGCAAUGAUUAUAAUGAGAGAGGCUUUAGUAGGAAAUACCAAUUCUAAUUCCAUCUCAAAAUCAAGAAAAGAAAAAAAAAUAUAGGUCAGAAUUUGAAGGUGCCGCCAUCCCUUUUCAACGAAGGGGUUUGGCUUUGGUAUCUCAUAUUCUGCCGUCCUCUUCUUUCUCCGCUUCAUCUUUCCGUCCCUUCAAAUUGAAUUGAGUUUUUUCCUACUGUGAUAUGAGCCCCGAAACUUUACGAAUUCUUGAUUUUUAUGAAAUUUGUUUUUUCUUUAAGAUCUGUUGUCGUUUUUUUGCACUUAUUUGAUGUUUAGAUGGGGAAACAGAUGCAUGUUGUUUUCUCCUUGAAGAAUCGGUGCGUAUAUAAAAAGCUUGAUUAACAUGUUUUCAGAAAUUUUGUGAUUUUGUUGUAAUUGAGCAGCGGUCAGGCAACCGUAGGGAUGGAAUCCACAGAUGCUGAGUUUUUUUUCCUACUGUGAUAGAUCUUUCAAAAUUAACACUUGAUAUGCUCCGUAACUUUUCAUUUUCUUUACGAAUGUUAAUUUUUAUGAAAUUUGUUUUUGCUAUCGGUCUUGAUUCGAAACUAUACGUUGGCGGAUAAAUGUGUGUACCUGGUAAUGGUAUUGGUGGGCUAUCGGUCUUGAUUCGAAAUAUGUAUUGACGGAUAAAUGGGUGUACCUUGUAUUGGUAUUGGUUGGCUGUCGGUCUUGAUUCGAAACUAUGCGUUGGCGGAUAAAUGUGUGUACCUUGUAUUGGUAUUGGUGGGCUAUUAGUAUUGAUUCGAAAUUAUGCGUUGUCGGAUAAAUGUGUUACCUGGUAUUGGUAUUGGUGGGCUAUUGGUCUUGAUUUGAAACUAUGCAUUGGCAGAUAAAUGUGUGUACCUUGUAUUGGUAUUGGUUGGCUGUCGGUCUUGAUUUGAAACUAUGCGUUGGCGGAUAAAAGUGUGUACUUGGUAUCGUUAUUGGUGGGCUAUCAGUCUUGAUUCGAAACUAUGCGUUGGCGGAUAAAUGUGUGUACCUGGUAUUGGUAUUUGUGGGCUAUCGGUCUUGAUUCGAAACUAUGCAUUGGCGGAUAAAUGUGUGUACCUUAUAUUGGUAUUGGUUGGCUAUCGGUCUUGAUUCGAAACUAUGCAUUGGCGGAUAAAUGUGUGUACCUUGUAUUGGUAUUGGUUGGCUAUCGGUCUUGAUUCGAAACUAUGCGUUGGCGGAUAAAUGUGUGUACCUAGUAUUGGUAUUGGUAGGCUAUCGGUCUUGAUUCGAAACUAUGCGUUGGCGGAUAAAUGUGUGUACUUGGUAUCGUUAUUGGUGGGCUAUCAGUCUUGAUUCGAAACUAUACGUUGGCGGAUAAAUGUGUGUACCUAGUAUUGGUAUUGGUGGGCUAUCGGUCUUGAUUUGAAACUAUGCAUUGGCGGAUAAAAGUGUGUACUUGGUAUCGUUAUUGGUGGGCUAUCAGUCUUGAUUCGAAACUAUGCGUUGGCGGAUAAAUGUGUGUACCUGGUAUUGGUAUUUGUGGGCUAUCGGUCUUGAUUCGAAACUAUGCAUUGGCGGAUAAAUGUGUGUACCUUAUAUUGGUAUUCGUUGGCUAUCGGUCUUGAUUCGAAACUAUGCAUUGGCGGAUAAAUGUGUGUACCUUGUAUUGGUAUUGGUUGGCUAUCGGUCUUGAUUCGAAACUAUGCGUUGGCGGAUAAAUGUGUGUACCUAGUAUUGGUAUUGGUAGGCUAUCGGUCUUGAUUCGAAACUAUGCGUUGGCGGAUAAAUGUGUGUACCUAGUAUUGGUAUUGGUAGGCUAUCGGUCUUGAUUCGAAACUAUGCGUUGGCGGAUAAAUGUGUGUACUUGGUAUCGUUAUUGGUGGGCUAUCAGUCUUGAUUCGAAACUAUGCGUUGGCGGAUAAAUGUGUGUACCUGGUAUUGGUAUUGGUGGGCUAUCAGUCUUGAUUCGAAACUAUGCAUUGGCGGAUAAAUGUGUGUACCUUGUAUUGGUAUUGGUUGGCUAUCGGUCUAGAUUCGAAACUAUGCGUUGGCGGAUAAAUGUGUGUACCUUGUAUUGGUAUUGGUGGGCUAUCAGUCUUGAUUCGAAAUUAUGCGUUGUCGGGUGUGGUAUACUGGAAAUCAUAUCUCACCAUUUUUAUGGUGUCCUAUUUUUUCAUGCAUAUGGUAUAUUGUUAGAAAUUGGCUCAGAAUUUUCAAGAUGAAAAAGUAUUCAAACAUCAAGGAUGUCUUAGAGGAACAAAAAGAAUUGGAUCAACUUCUGACUGACUGACUGAAUUUUCGUAAUAAUGUUUUCACAUUUUAUUUUGUUCCAGAAUUGGAUCAACUGCUGACUGACUCUUUCCCAAUAAUGUUUUCACAUUUCAUUUUGUUCCAUAAUUUGAAUUUUCAUAGUGUUGAUUCAGCUCUAUGAUGGAACCAAUUUGUUUGGUGUGUGGAUAUUGGUAGUGUCAUCAGAUAAAGCCUAGAUAGUUGAUCCUUUCCAGUUGAUGGGAUCUGUGGGUACUUUAAUUUGGUCGGAUAGUGGAUGAAGUCUGCUGUGUGGAUCAGGCUGUUUUGAUUGUGGUUGUAGCUGGAUCAGAAAAUCAGUAGUUGACUCACUGUUUUAGAGCAUCCUGAUAGCAUUUUGCAGCAAUUUUAAUCCUGUGUGGUACUGGUGGUUUAAGCUGACUGGAGUAGUUUUGCUUUGAAGCAUAGCUGUCCUGCGCAGGCUCGCAUAGUGGUUUUUGUGCAGCUUUGUACUUGAGUAGCUUGGGAUGAUUUUGGUGUUAUAGUGGGAAAGCUUGGCACAUUUGAAGCGGUUCACCGCUAGAAUCGAUAACGGCAUAGUAUUUUCUAGGAUAGUCGGCAUAAUUUGGUACACUUCCAAGGGAUCCUAAAGAAUUAAAGUAAUCUCUUGUCGAGCUGGAUAAAACUAAAGAUAAAGGCAUUGUUUAGUAAUCCAAGAAAGAAAUCGGAUAUCCAAUACCUAAUGGACAUGGCCCAAUUGGCCGACAAAGUUCCACAAAUCGAACAAUUAAAGGCUUAGAAGGUCAAAACGAUAAAGUUUAGUAAAAAGAAAGUAGCUUAUGGCGAGAUAGACGAUGCAGAAAAUGCUUUUGACUCAGAUUAUGAGUACGUCGAAGAUGGCUGAUGUCAAAACCCUACCGGAACUUAUGGAAGAGGAGGCUCGGAGGCAAGAUAAACUCGUGUCCAAUUUGACCAACAUUAUUCAAGUGAAAAACAAGCACUUAUUUGAGAUUGAAGCAAGAUGCACCUAGACUAGACUACGGAAAAUAUGAAUUCUGCUAUGACAGAAAACAAUUUACUCAUUCUUAUAAUAAAGAGAUGAAGAAAAUACAGGCAAGUGCUAAGGAUCACUUCCAAAGGAUUUUUAAUGAUCACAAAAAGCUUAAAUCGAAACUGGAAUUUCAGAAAAGUGAGCUUGAUUUGCGGAGAAUUGCUUUGGAAAAACGUGAAGCACAUAAUGAAAGUGAAAGAAAAAAGUUGACACUGAGCCAUUCCUUGAAGCUAUGAAGCAAAGAUAUAAUGAGGAAGCCGAAGACAAAGCUACAGAACUAUGUUCAUUGUGGGAAGAGUAUAUAAAAGACCCAAAUUGGCAUCCGUUCAAAGUUGUCAUGAUUUACGGGAAAGAAAGAGUAUGUUUCUGUUAAACAUGGUUCUCUUUUUAUCUAUUUGGCCUUUUGAACCUAUAAUUCUGUCACUUUUUGUUAUCUGAGGGACUUACUGGUGUCGAGCCCUGUUUGGAAAUGUCAUAGGGGAUCAAUAGGUGAAAGAAAGAAUAGACAACUAAGAAUUAAAGAUGAGUAUAGAAGUAGGGGUUUCAAUCCGAUUCGAGUCAAUCCUUUAUGGAAUUACAGAGGUCUCUCCGGAACUGUUCUUGUGGAUUCAAUAAAAACUGGCCUGACUUAGAUAAUGCACUUGCAUUUUAAAAAGUGUAUGCGUUAGAACAUCUUGGGAAAAAGGAUUGGUUUGUUAAUACCGGGCCGAAGACGGGUCUUUAUGGAUGGGUUGCCCGAGCAGAUGAUUACAAUUUGAAUAACAUCAUUGAUGAACAUCUGCGAAAGAUGGCUGAUGUUAAAACUAUACCGGAACUUAUGGAAGAAGAGGCUCGAAGGCAAGAUAAACUCGUGUCCAAUUGACCAACAUUAUUCAAGUUAAAAACAAGCACUUAUUUGAGAUUGAAGCAAGAUGCACCGAGACUACGUCGAAAAUGAAUUCUGCCAUGACAGAAAAAGAUUUACUCAUUCAAUAUUAUAAUGAAGAGAUGAAGAAAGUACAGGCAAGUGCUCAGGAUCACUUCCAAAGGAUUUUUAAUGAUCACGAAAAGCUUAAAUCGCAACUAAAAUCUCAGAAAAGUGAGCUUGAAUUGCGGAGAAUUGCUUUGGAAAAACGUGAAGCGCAUAAUGAAAGUGAAAGAAAAAAGUUGGCAGAGGAGAUUGAGGAGGUAUAGUGUUUUUAUUUUGCUCCAUCCUCUAUGAUUGGGAUUCACGAAAACUUUAUAUUUAAUGAAACAAUUUUUUUGUGUACGCUAUUGAUUAUUACUCAUAUGGUUUUUUUGACAAAUGUUUGUCCAUAUGAUUGAUACUUAGAUGUGUUAGUGCUUUCAAUGAAGGAUAUCAACCAAGCUUAAUCAAUAUCCACUUUGCUUAGCAUGUUUAAAAUCAUGGAAUGAUUGGUUGGGAGUUUAUUUUCCGUUGAAUCUUCGGAUAGUUAAUUCUAAAAAUAUUGGAAAUAUGAUAAACCUGGUAAUUGUUCGAGUAGUACCUCGUUGAAGGUUGUGAAUCCAGAACAAGGUAGUGUUUGGAUUGCAGGUGUAUUUACUUUAAAAGGGAAAGUACCUCAUGAUUGAAUUCUUAUUGGAACCUUAUAAUCUUUGUAUAGGUCAGAAUUUGAAGGUGCCGCCAUCCCUUUUCAUCGAAGGGGUUUGGCUUUGGUAACUCAUAUUCUGCCGUCUUCUUCUUUCUCCUCUUUGUCUUUCCGUCCCUUCAAAUUGAAUUGAGUUUUUUCCUACUGGGAUAGAUCUUUCCAAAUUUACACUUGAUAUGAGCCCCGAAACUUUACGAAUUCUUGAUUCCUACGAAAUUUGUUUUUUCUUUACAAAUUUUUUGCACUUAUUUGAUUUUUGGAUGGGGAAACAGUUGCAUGUUGUUUUCCCGUUGAAGAAUCGGUGCGUAUAUAAAAAGCUUGAUUAACAUGUUUUAGAAAUUUGAUGAUUUUGUUGUAAUUGAGCAGCGGUCAGACAACCGUAGGGAUGGAAUCCACAGAUGCCGAGUUUUUUUCUGCUGUGAUAGAUCUUUCAAAAUGUACACUUGAUGUGAGCUCCGUAACUUUUCAUUUUCUUUAUGAAUGUUGAUUUUUAUGAAGUUUGUUUUUGCUAUCGGUCUUGAUUCGAAACUAUGCAUUGACGGAUAAAUGUGUACCUGAUAUUGGUAUUGGUGGGAUAUCGGUCUUGAUUUGAAACUAUGCGUUGGCGGAUAAAUGUGUGUACCUAGUUUUGGUAUUGGUGGGUUAUCAGUCUUGAUUCGAAACUAUACGUUGGCGGAUAAAUGUGUGUACCUAGUUUUGGUAUUGGUGGGCUAUCGGUCUUGAUUCGAAUGCAUUGGUGGAUAAAUGUGUGUACUUGAUAUUGGUAGGCUAUCAGUCUUGAUUCGAGACUAUGCGUUGGCGGAUAAAUGUGUGUGCCUAGUAUUGGUAUUGGUGGGCUAUUGGUCUUGCUUCGAAACAAUGUGUUGGCGGAUAAAUGUGUGUACCUGGUAUUGGUAUUGGUGGGCUAUUGGUCUUGAUUUGAAACUAUGCGUUGGCGGAUAAAUGUGUGUACCAGAUGUUGAUAUUGGUGGGCUAUUGGUCUUGAUUCAAAACUAUGCGUUGGCGGAUAAAUGUGUGUGCCUGGUUUUGGUAUUGGUGGGCUAUCGGUCUUGAUUCGAAACUAUGCGUUGGUGGAUAAAUGUGUGUACAUGGUAUUGGUAUUGGUGGGCUAUCAGUCUUGAUUCGAAACUAUGCGUUGGAGGAUACAUGUGUGUACUUGGUAUUGGUAUUGAUGGGCUAUUGGUAAUUGGCUUGUAAUUUCUACGAUAUUUCAAAGAGAGUUGUUGGUAUCCUGGAAAUCAUAUCUCACAAUUUUUAUGGUGUGCUAUGUUUUCAUGCAUAUGGUAUAUUGUUAGUAAUUGGGUCGGAAUUUCUAUGAUAUUUCAAAUUUUGUAGUUGUUAUACUGGAAAUCAUAUCUAAUAAUUUCUAUGGUGUGCUAUGUUUUCAUGCAUAUGGUAUAUUGUUAGUAAUUGGCUCGAAUUUCCACGAUAUUUCAAAGAGAGUAUUUGGUAUACUGGAAAUCAUAUCUCACCAUUUUUAUUGCGUCCUAUUUUUUCAUGCAUAUGGUAUAUUGUUAGUAAUUGGCUCGGAAUUUUCACGAUGAAAAAGUAUUCAAACAACAAGGAUGUUUUAGAGGAACCAAAAGAAUUGGAUCAACUGCUGACUGACUGUUUCAAAGUAAUGUUUUCACAUUUCAUUUUGUUCCAGAAUUUGAAUUGUCAUAGUGUUGAUUCAGCUUUAUGAUGGAACCAGUUUGUUUGGCGUGGAUAUUGGUAGAGUCAUCAGAUAAGCCUAGACAUUUAAUCUUUUUCAGUUGAUGGGAUCUGUGGGUACUUUAAUUUGGUCGAAUAGUGGAUGUAGUGGAUGAACUCUGCUGUGUGGAUCAGGCUGUUUUAAUUGUGGUUGUAACCACUGGAUCAGAAAAUCGGUAGUUGACUCUCGCUUUAUUAGAGCAUCCUGACAGCAUUUUGCAGCAAUUUUAAUCCCGUGUGGUACUGGUGGUUUAAGCUGACUGCAGCAGUUUUGCUUUGAAGCAUAGGUGUCCUGCGCAGGCUCGCAUAAUGGUUUUUGUGCAGCUGUGUACUUGUCAAUAGCUUGGGAUGUUUUUGGUGUUACAGUGGAAAAGCUUGGCACAUUUGGAGCGGUUCACCGCUAGAAUCGAUAACGGCAGAGUAUUUUCUAGGAUAGCUAGCAUAAUUUGGUUCACUUCCAAGGGAUCCUAAAGAAUUAAAGUGAUCUCUUUUACAGAAAGAUGUUGCACGGCAGUUUUGGAACUGCUAUUAUUGUCGAGCUGGAUAAAACUAAAGAUAAAAGCAUUGUUUAUUUCCAGUUUCCAUUCAGAGGCUGGAUGGUCAAGAACUGUGUUGGUCUUGGAAUAUCAGUCCUGGCACAUUAUGCUGACUACCGAUUAAGAGGUUUUGCUGCAUUAAAGUGAUACUGUUUUGCUGGUUUUAGUCUAGGUAGUGUCUCCCUCUUGAAAUUGAGUUUUAUUUUUAUUCUAUAGUUUGGUUCGCUUCAAUGCCUUUAUGGCUGACUCUAUUUUUGUUCAGUACUGGCAUAUCUUAUGCCAUGGAUAUAUUUUAAUUAUAAAUAAAUGACUUUUUUGCUAUUUUAAAAUUUUGUUUACUUCAUUGUCACCAUUUGUAUUCUUUUAAUUUGAUGAAAGAAGUGCUUCAAAUAUAUUAGUCAAUAGUGAGAAAGAUUGCAGGUUAAGCAUUGGUCCUAGAAAUUGGUUAAAUUGUGUGAUUAUGGAAAUAGAGAUUGCUUGAUUUAAAAGAUUCGGCAUUAAGUGUAAGCGAAGUUGAAUGGACUGGGAAAAGAAGUGGGUGAAAAAGCAUAUAAUGCAGUGGUGGCAGCUUUGACAGAGACGAUAUGUAACCUCUGAAUUAUGGAAUUACCAAACUGGAAUUGGGGGGCUAUUGGUCUUGAUUUGAAACUAUGCGUUGGCGGAUAAAUGGUUGUACCUGGUAUUGGUAUUGGUGGGCUAUCGGUCUUCAUUCGAAACUAUGCGUUGGCGGAUAAAUGCGUGUACAUGGUAUUGGUAUUGGUAUUGGUAUUGGUGGGCUAUCGGUUGAUUCAAAACUAUGCGUUGGCGGAUAAAUAUGUGUACCUGGCAUUGGUAUUGGUGGGCUAUCGGUCUUGAUUCGGGUCAACUGCUGACUGACUGUUUCACAAUAAUGUUUUCGUAUUUCAUUUUGUUCCAGAAUUGGAUCAACUGCUUACUGAUGACUGUUUCACAAUAAUGUUUUUCACAUUUCAUUUUGUUCCAGAAUUGGAUCAAGUGCUGACUGACUGUUUCACAAUAUUUUUACUUUUCAUUUUGUUCCAGAAUUUGGAUCAACUGCUGACUGACUGUUUCACAAUAAUGUUUUCACAUUUCAUUUUGUUCCAGAAAUGGAUCAACUGCUGAUUGACUGUUUCACAAUAAUGUUUUCACAUUUCAUUUUGUUCCAAAAUUUAGAUUGUCAGUGUUGUUUCAGCAAUAUGAUGGAACCAGUUUGUUUGGUGUGGAUAUUGGUAGAGUCAUCAGAUAAGCCUAGACAUUUGAUCUUUUUCAGUUGAUGGGAUCUGUGGGUACUUUAAUUUGGUCGGAUAGUGGAUGAACUCUGCUGUGUGGAUCAGGCUGUUUUGAUUGUGGUUGUUACUGGAUUAGAAAAUCGGUAGUUUACUCUUGUUGUGUUAGAGCAUCCAAACAGCAUUUUGCAGUGAUUUUAAUUAUGUGGUCCUGGUGGUUUAAGCUGACUAGAGCAGUUUUGCUUUGAAGCAAAACUGUCCUGCGCAGGCUUGCAUCGUGGUUUUUGUGCAGUUGUGUAUUUGUCUAUAGCUUGGGAUGAUUUUGGUUUUACAGUGGGAAAGCUUGGCACAUUUGGAGCGGUUCACCGCUGGAAUCGAUAACGAUAAAGUAUUUUCUAGGUUAGUCAGCAUAAUUUGGUUCACUUCCAAGUGAUCCUAAAGAAUUAAAGUGAUCUCUAGUACAGAAAGAUGUUGCACGACAGUUUUCGAACUGCUAUUAUUGUCGAGCAAUAUGGAUUCAGUUGAUAAUUUGACUGGAAUGAGCAAAGCACUGGAUAAAACUGAAGAUAAUGGCAUUGUUUAUUUCCACUUUUCAAUCAGAGGCUUGAUUGGUUAAGAGCACUAAGUAAAUUGUGAGCUUGGUUGAUCUUGGAAUAACAGUACUGGCACAUUAUGCCAAUCACCUAUCAAGAGGUUUUGUAGAAUCAAUGUCAUACUGGGUUGCUAGUUUUAGUCUAGGUGUGUCUGGUUGCUUGCUUACCUUGGAUCUAAGUUAUAAAUAAAUUACUUUUUGGCUUUUAAAUUUUUUUACUUCAUUUUCACUAUUUUUAUUCUUUUAAUUUGAUGAAAGAAGUGCUUCAAAUAGUAAUCAAUACUGAGAAAGGUUCAGGUUAAGCAUUGAUCCUAGAAAUUGGUUAGAUUGUGUGAUUAAGCAUUUACCUACUCAUUUGAUUUGGCUUAAAUGACUAAAAAGGGGGCAAACUCUGGAUUCUUCCACCAAUGUGUAAUGAUUAGAAGGAAGACAAACGAGAUAUGUAGCUUAGAGUCUCAAGAUGCUUUGAUAAGUGGGGUUCAAGAAAUAAAACAAUAAAUUUAUGAUCACUUCUCAAAAGUGUUUCAGAGGCAAAACGGUGAAUAGACCAGUUCUAAAUGAGUUUGAGUUUAGAAAGAUCAAAGCGUAGGAUAAUAUUGUGCUUACAGAGGAAUUUUAAGAGGAAGAUAUUUGAAGGACAGUUUGGGAUUGUGAUUGUUCGAAGAAUUCAGGUCCAGAGGUUCAGAUGAUGUAUCGUUUGGAUUUAUUAAAGAGUUCUGGGAUGUGAUUAAAAGUGACUUCAUUAGAUUAAUUGGAGAGUUUCAUAUGAAUGGGAGGAUAGUUCGUGGUGCUAGAUUGCAUUCUUAUAGCAAAUGAGUUGGUAGACGAUGCUAGGCGUAGGAAAAAAGUUUGGUGUUGGUAAAUGGGAGACCAACUAAAGAAUUUGUAGUCGGGAUAAGUCUUAGGCAAUGGGACCCGUUGUCACCGUUUUUGUUACUGACAGCGGCAGAGGGUCUGAAUCUAAUGAUGUCCAAAAGUGUAAAAAAGAACCUUUUUGACGGAUAUCAGGUUGGAAAUGGCUAGGUGAAGAUUUCACAUAUUCAAUACGCAUACGAUACAAUUAUAGUAUGUGAGAGAAGCUGGAAGAAUAUCUUGGCAGUUAAGGCAAUCUUGCAGUUAUUUGAAUUGGUGUCUGGGUUGAAAGUGAAUUUUCACAAGAGUUCGUUAACAGGGGUUAAUUUAAACCAAUCUUGGCUGGAGGAGGCAACAAUUGCUUUAAAUUGUAAAGUGGGGGAGUAAACUUUUAGUAUUUAGGGCUGCCGGUGGGAAGCAAUCAUCGGAGUGAACGAGAGUGGAUACCUGUGGUGGAAACAGUUAGAAAUAGUAGUCUUCGUGGAACAAUUAACAUAUUUCAGUGGGUGGCUGUAUUAUCCUACUGAAAGUUGUCUUGUAUGCUUUACCAGUCUACUAUCUUUCUUCAAAGCUUCAACAUGUAUUGUCGCUAUGCUAGAAUCUACUUUUAAAAUUUUUCUGUUGAGUGGAGGGAUAGAAAGUAGAAAAAGUGAAUUGGGUUAAGUGGGAGAAGGUGUGUCGUGCGAAGGAAGAAGGGGGUUUGGGGAUAAAAUCCUUAAGAGAUUUAAUUUGGCCUUAUUGGGAAGUAGAGAUAAGAGAUGGGAGACAUGUGUGGAUUAAUAGAUGGCAUGGAAUGGUUGUUGAGGAUAACAAGAAGUUAGAGGAAGAAAUUAUAGAAAAGGUGCAAAGAGUCAGAAUGAGAGCUGACACGAAGGAUAGAUGGAGAUGGCUCAAAAAUGAGUAUUCUGUCAAAGAAGCUUAUGCAUUGAUCAUUGAUGGCCGGGCAGCAGAAUCUAAUGAAGAUAGGUUUUUUCUGAUGCUUGGUGUAAUUUGGUGCCGCCAAAAGUCUUCGCUUUUGUCUAGAGAUGUAGCACAACAAAGUCCCGACGAGAGAUAAUUUGAUCAAAAGAGGCAUCUUGGUUGAAUCUCGAAAUUCUCGCGUGUUUGGCUACGGAAGAGGGGAGAGUGUUGAGCACUUGUUCUUCUAAUGUCUGAUAGAUUUUGAGGCUUGGAACGAGAUCCUAAGAUGGCUGAAUUGUCACAGGGGGCUGCAUAAUUCCGCAGCUUCAAACUUUUUUCAGUUCAGAUGGCUGUUUGUGGGGGCAGUGUCAUCAUGGAGAGGUAUUUGGUAAUUUGGUUUGUAUUCAUUUGGAUUAAAUGGAGGAGGCGGAAUGUAAAAAUCUUUAAGCAAGUGGAAAAAGAUGAUUUUGCUAUUGUUGAUGAGGUGCAGUUGACUUCUUGGAGGUGGCUUAAAGGUAAAGUUGGCGAAUUCAACUACUCUCUCGAUCAAUGGAUAUCAAAUCCAAGGGAAUGUUUAAGGUGUUAGUGGCGUUUGAAAGAUUGGGUGGCGAGAAGGUGUUGCAGGUGUUUUGCUGAAUCUGGGAGCUGUGCAGGCUCAAAUUUAGCAGAAUUUGGAUUUUUCAGGUUUGGAGAAAGUGUUGAGGCAGAUGGUCCAUCAGUUUUCUGUUUCAUGUUCCGGUUGGAUAUUCGAGUAAGUAGCGGAGAAUCUAGAGUUUCACUGCAGUGAUGUGAUGGUUUUUGAGUUCGCAGGUCUGGUUGUUAUUUUAGUUUGAGUAGCGUAUCUCUAAGGAUUCGGUUGCAUGGUGUGGUGUAGGUUGCUGUUAGGGAGAGGGUCUGGUUUUUUGCCUCUGUUUAACUGUUUUAUUCCAGUGUUGCAUUCUUAUAGUUUUGGUCAGUUGUUUUGGGUCUGCUGUGUACUUGUCAAUAGCUCGGGAUGAUUUUGGUGUUACAGUGGGAAAGCUUGGCACAUUCGGAGCGGUUCACCGCUAGAAUCGAUAAAGGCGGAGUAUUUUCUAGGAUAGUCAGCAUAAUUUGGUCACUUCCAAGGGAUCCUAAAGAAUUAAAGUGAUCUCUUGUACAAAAAGAUGUUGCACGACAGUUUUGGAACAUUGUGAGUUGUGUUGGUUUUCAGAAUUAAUGUGAUACUGGUUUGCUGGUUUUAGUCUAGGUGGUGUCAGGUUUCUUGCUUGCUUGCCUAGGGGAUCUAUUUUAGUUAUAAAUAAAUUACUUCUUUGGAUUUUAAUUUUUUUUUACUUCAUUUUCACUAUUUUUAUUCUUUUAAUUUGAUGUAAGAAGUGCUUCAAAUAUUAAUCAAUAUUCAAUACUGAGAAAGGUUGCAUGUUAGCAUUGAUCCUAAAAAUUGGUUAGAUUGUGUGAUUAUCGAAAUCGAGAUUGCUUGAUUUAAAAGAUUUGGCAUAUACAUGUUUGAAUCUAAUUUUGUAGGAAUGAUUAAGAUUUGGAAGUAUAGUCGUAAACAUUGAGGGGGGAAAAAAUAAAAAUGUGAGAAAUGUAAAUGUUGCUCAAUUUAAAUGUGCAAAAAAUUUAAUUUUCUAAUUGGGUGUGUUGGUUUGACGUUAAGAGUUUAGAAUAAAAAAAUGUAGGUUUCAAUGCUUAAGAACUUAAAAAUUCUAGCAUAGUUUCGAUGUCAUUUUGCUGUGAAUAUAAGAAGUUAAAAAUUUUAGAAUUUAAGUAGUUAGAAAUUCUAGCUGUUUAGAACAAAAAACCCAGGUUUCAAUGCUUAAGAACUAAGAAAUUCUAGCAUGAUUUUGAUGUCAUUUUGCCGAGAGUUUAAGAGCAUAGCUAGUUAGACGUGCGUUUGUGGCAUAUUCCACUGUGAAAAAAACACAUUAUAUAGAAAGACAAGAAUCACAUAUUGCUCUAUUCAUAAAAUGCAUCAUGGUGAAAAAAUUUAGAAGUAAAAACCAUAAAAUUUUAACUUUAAACAUAUGUAAAAGAAUAAGAGAAUUAAUAGAAGGGAAGUGAGUUAUUUUGAAUGCGAAGAUUAUUUGGAUUUUUUUGUUGGCAGAGGAGAUUGAGGAGGUAUAGUGUUUUUAUUUUGCUCCAUCCCCUAUGAUUGGGAUUCAAGAAAAAUUUAUAUUUGAUGAAGCAACUUUUUUGUGUACGGUAUUGAUUACUAUUCAUAUGGUUUUUUUGACAAAUGUUUGUCCACAUGAUUGAUACUUAGAUGUGUUAGUGCUUUCAAUGAAGGAUUUAUCAACCAAGGUUAAUCAAUAUCCACUUUGCUUAUCAUGUUUAAAAAUCAUGGAAUGAUUGGUUGGGAGUUUAUUUUCUGUAGAAUCUUUGGAUACUUUAUUCUGAAAAUACAGGCAUCAUGAUAAAACUGGUUUUUAUUCGAGUAGUACCUCGUUGAAGGUUGUGAAUCCAGAACAAGGUAUUUACUUUAAAAGGGAAAGUAGCCCAUGAUUGAAUUCUUAAUGGAACUUUAUAAUCUAUGUAUAGACUAUUUGUGCACUUCGACUGAGUGUGUCUUUGAUCUUAAUCUUGGUAGUGCUCCCUUGCUUGUUACUUAAGUCCUUGAUGAUGUGGGAGAAGAUAGUACCAAUAUUUAACAGUAAUUGUUACUGAAAGCAGAUCAAAAUGUUCUUAAGUAACAGUAAUUGUUACUUAAGUCCUUGAUGAUGUGUGGUUAUAUUCUAUGCUCUUAAUGAUAUGAAAUUAUGUUCUUACUGUGUCUGCGAAGUCAUUUAAAUAAUAUUUUGCUUCAAUAGAGCAACUGAAAGCAGAUCAAAAUGUUUUGAAACUGGCUGAAGAUCAAAAGGUCAGUACUGCCUUUUUAUUAGUUUUGUUAAUGAACAUAAGUGUGCUUGUCAGGUUCAGAAUAACGUAGUAUUUAUGCUAUUUGAAUGUCUAUUAUACAGAAACAAAAGGAACUCCAUGCUAAAAUCAUUCAGAUUGAAAAACAAUUGGAUAUGAAACAAAAGCUGGAAUUAUACCUAGAUUAAUGAAUAUAAUCCUAGUGGGCGAUAUGUAACCUCCGAAUUAUGGAACUACAAAACUGGAAAAAGAGAAACUUUGAAGGAAGGAGUACAAUUUUUGUUGAACACAUGGAAACGCAAGAAAGGAAUGUUGCGAAGGUUUGUAUACAAUUUUGUUACUCUAUAUUCAUGUUACUGAAAUUUACCUAAAACUGGUGGAAAAAAAAGAAAAGAAAUCUAUGACCAAUUAUUGUGUCUUACCCCUUUCCAUAUGAAUACUGCUACUGUUUUAAUAACAAUUUCAUGUUACAAUGGAUGGUUGAUGUUGAUGGCGCAAAUAUAAUAACUUAUGCAUGGCAGCUGGUUUGCACACAUCCAUAUUUGUAGAGCUGUGAACUCAUGGUUAAUGUAUGUUUAAGUGAUCUAUGGAUAUGUUAAACUAGUUAGUUUCACUAUUUCACUAGACAGAUGGUAAUUUUCAAGACUCAAAACUGCUUUUGCUCUAGAGUGAGUGACAGUCUUUGGUAUUAUCUCUAGCAUGGAAGACACAUAUUUUGAUAAGAAACUUGUAUGACAAUAUAUUACUAGCCUUUUAAUUAUCAAGUUUCUUUCUUCUUC